rnacentral:misc_RNA from 1 species
GUAGGUGAACCUGCGGAAGGAUCAUUAUUGAAAUAAACUGAUGGGUUGCUGCUGGCUCUCUAGGGAGCAUGUGCACACCUUGUCAUCUUUAUAUCUCCACCUGUGCACCUUUUGUAGACCUUUCAGGUCUAUGUUGCUUUUUCAUUUACCCCAAUGUAUGUUAAUAGAAUGUUGUGCCUAUAAAAUCUAUACAACUUUCAGCAACGGAUCUCUUGGCUCUC